rnacentral:lncRNA from 1 species
AUAAGGAAGGUAUCAAACAACAUAAAUCCUAUGCUAUUACAAGCAUUCACAUAUAUAUUACAUUUUUCCAUUACAUCCUCGACUUCCAAAUACAAUCACAAUUAUUACAAGUUUGUUCCUUUAACAUUUUCACCCCUAAGCUAGACUACUUCGGGGUACCGCUAUCUCAGGUCUCGGUGGUAGGGCGCUAUCUACAGAGCUACGUCCUGCCCCCGCGCCGCCGCGCCACUCGCGUGUGAACCUGAAACCCCUAAAACCACACGAGGGUGAGAACUAUAUAAAUAUAGUUU